rnacentral:rRNA from 1 species
UGGGGAAUAUUGGACAAUGGGCGCAAGCCUGAUCCAGCCAUGCCGCGUGUGUGAUGAAGGCCUUAGGGUUGUAAAGCACUUUCAACGGUGAAGAUAAUGACGGUAACCGUAGAAGAAGCCCCGGCUAACUUCGUGCCGGCAGCCGCGGUAAUACGAAGGGGGCUAGCGUUGUUCGGAAUUACUGGGCGUAAAGCGCACGUAGGCGGAUUGAUCAGUUAGAGGUGAAAUCCCGGGGCUCAACCCCGGAACUGCCUUUAAUACUGUCAAUCUAGAGAUCGAGAGAGGUGAGUGGAAUUCCGAGUGUAGAGGUGAAAUUCGUAGAUAUUCGGAGGAACACCAGUGGCGAAGGC